UUUGAUUAACUGAUCAUCAGCAGUGCAAGCACCUCUGUAAAAGCUGGGCUUUGGCAGGCUUGUGUUAACACAAUGCCACAAUCUUCUCAGCAAAUUCAGUACAAUGCUCGGUGAAACUGCAGGAAAUCCAAGAUUUACAUCUCAGACUCUGCAGGCCUCAGUUAGGAAAGUAAAUGUUAAACUUCAUGAUGGUAAAAUUUGAAGAAAGGCUGAACAAAAUUGUUUAGAAAGGUUGUCAGCAGAAAGCCAAAUAUGAGACCAUCUGUCUGAUAGCUAAAGAUUGGCUGAAACCGGACAAUGAUCCCAAGCACAAGAGCAAAUCUACAACCGAACGGCUGAAAAAGAAAAGAAUGAAAGUGCUGCAAGUCCAGAAAGUCAUAGAUGCUAAAGGUGGAUCUACAAAAUAUGGAAUCGUGGUGCUCUAUUGGAUCGAGAUCUGGUGACUGUGGAGGUCAUCUGAGUACAGGGAACUGCUGGAAGAUGGGUACACUGUGGUCAUAAAGGGGUGGACACGGUCGACAACAAAGCCGAAUGUUGCAGCAGAAAUUGAGGCUCAUCACACCAGGCAAUAUUGAUCCCGGGAUGAACCUCAUCCAGAUGGUUACUGGUCCCUUUUUUUGUCCACAUCAGCCUCUGGAGCUCUGAAGCUGGGGGGGUUUCAUACCUGCCUUCUGCCCCCUCAGGGCUCGCCAGGCAGCUGAGGCCUCUG